AGAAAUUUAGUCCAUUGAGUUAAUCUACAAACCCUUCCUGCUCUGCUUCUGUCCAUGGUUGCCAUGUGACUGCCUGCCCGUGAUUGGGCUGUGGAGGAGAAAAUGUACUCAUGGUUGAACUCUGAUAUUUCAGUCUGGUUUAUAGUUUCACUUCUUCUGUUACAUUAAUAAGUUUCUGGUUUUCUUGCAUCAGUGUGUCAUGAGUUUGGUUAAUGUGAAACCAGUCCAUGGGAGCCCAGGGAUGCUAACGGUAUAAUUUCUGAGCACACUGUCGCACUUCUACCCGUGCAGACCUGGCUGGAGGAUGUCCGCCUUCCUCACUGAUUUCUCCAAACAACAGGGUCCUCUCUCACCCCCGGAUGUGAGGCUGGGAGCUCUAUGAGUUGGCCAGUCGGUGGCCAAGUCCACCAAUCAGAAAAUGAUGAAGUACCCGGAAGUGGGCUUAAUAGAAGAAAAGGGCUUCCAGGUAGUCCGAUGAGCUGUUCGAGUCCAUUUGUACGUUUUGGUUACUGAGACCCUCGAAUUCCCAUAUGAAUUGUAGCAGCAGCUAGCCAGUUACUGCAGAGGAGCCCACUGGGAUUGUGAUAGAGACCACGUUGAAUAUGUGGAUUGCUCUGUGGAGCACUGACAUUCCAAGAGCGCUGUCAUCUGAUCCAGGAAUGUGCGUGGUGUGUCUGUCCAGAGUUCUAUGUAUAGUUGGUUACAUUCUAUACAUGGAAAUUUCUCCAAAACUGCUUCCCACGUGUGUCCCAUGGCUCGGAAUGGGGUGGUUCUGCUCAUUGACGGGUGUUGGCCAGAAACCGAAAAUGACAUCCUCCAAGAAGCCUGGGAUUUGUCAGUUAUGUUUUGUCAGUGCUGAUGACUUCAGAAAAUGCUUUCACAGUUCCUCUCCAUCUGAGGCGGCAGCAUGCUCUCUUAGCAGCAUCAGGAGCUCAGGGCCACGGUGCCCUCACCUCCAGUGGCAUCCAUCCAGACACCAGCACUGACACUGGCCGUGCUCAGAACUGCCUCAGCCCUGAAGAUACAACUGACAAAUAGAAGGGGUCCACGCCCUGUUACAGCAGGUGCUCUCACUUUGUGGGUCCUUAUGUAACUGUGCGUUGUUAUUCAGGAUCGCCCAUUCUACAUUGUGUGAUGCUGCUGCCGUGUCUCCUAGUUAUUUAUUUAUGCUCCUCCGCUCAGAUGUAAGAAUAUCCUCUUUCGACUUCUUGAUGCAGCUCCUUAAUGAAGAUCUCGUGAAGGAAACUUAGUCAAAACCUGGGAGCAUUCCUAGGAGAGAAUUCAGCAGUGCAGCAUCCUCUCCGAGCUCUAUGAGUUGAUCGGCUUCCACCGCAAGUCCGCCUUCUUCAAGCGGGUGGCCCCCGUGCAGCGCGCGGCCCCAGGCAUCCCGGAGCCUGGCGGGAAGGCCUGCUACCGACUCCUUCUGCAGACGCUUCCUGGCUACAGUCUGUCGCUGGAUCUGCAGGACUUCAGCAAAGGUGUUGGAACUAAAACAUUGCUUCAGUCCCAUUAACCAUGCCUGGUUUGGGCCCUGCUGUCCUGUCUCAUCAGGGUGAAUUGUGAUUGUUUAGAACAGGGCUCAGCAGACUUUUUCUGUCAAGGGCUUGGGAGUAAGUAUUUCAGGGUCUGCAAACCUCCUGAUCUCUAGUGCGUCUGCUCAGCUCUGCUGUUCAGACGCCAGAGCAGCCGGACAUUCCACACACCCACAGAGUUUUAUUAACAGCUUUGGCUGGGGCUGGAUUCGGUGUAUGAACUGCAGUUUGUCCCCAGAGCUCCUCACUAUUGACGCCUCCACCAGAGCGUGCAUUUGCGACAAUGGGUGAACCUGCACUGACAAGUCAUCAUCACCCAGAGCCCAGACUUGACACUAGGAUUUACACUUGGUUGUGUGCACUCUGUGGGUUUGGACAGAUGUGCAAUGACAUGUAUCCACCGUCACAGCAUCAUACAGAGUAGUCUGUCUUAGUGACCUUAAAAUGCUCCGUGCUGCACCUCAUUCAUUGCUCCUUCCCCUCUAGCCUCUGACAGCCACUGAUCUUUUAGUCUCUGUGGUUUUGCCUUUCCCAGAACACCAUACAGUUGGAAUCAGACAGUUGCGGAACCUUCCCAGAUUGGCUUCUUUCACUUAGUAAUAAGCAUUUAAGGUUCCUCCAUGUCUUUCCAUGCCUUGAUAACUCAUUUCAUUUUAGCACCAAAUAAUAGUCCAUUUUCUGGCUGGACCACAGUUUAUCCAUUCACCUACUGAAGAACAGCUUAGUUGUUUCUGAGUUCUGGUGAUUAUGAAUAAAGCUGCUAUUAACAUCUGUAUGCAGAUUUCUGUGUGGACAUAAGUUUCCAUUUCAUCGAGUAAACACCAAGGAGCACAGUUGCCGGAUCAUAUGUUAGGAGUACGUUUAGUUUUGUAAAAAAUUGGCAGACCGUCUUCCAAAAUAUCUGGGCCAUUUUACAUUCCCACCAGCAAUGCAUGAGAAUUCCUGACGCUCCACAUCCUCACCAGCAUUCGGUGCUGUCAGUGUUCUGCUUUUUGGCAGUUCUGACAGGUGUGCAGUUGUACCUCGCUGUUUCAGUCUGCAUCCCCUUGAUGACAGAUGCUGUGGAGCAUCUUUCCAUAGACUUCUUUGGCAUGUAGAUUUCUUCUUUGAUGAGGUGUGUGUUCAGGCAUUUUGCUCAUUUUUUAAUCAGGUUGUUCAUCCUUCUUGUUGAGUUUAAAGAGAUUUUGGUAUAUUCUGGAUAUCAGCCCUUUAUCAAUGUGUCCCUGCCCUUCACCUGCAGCACCGGAGUUGUCCUUUGGGUCUCAGUGGAGUGUCAGCUCUUCAAAGAGGUUCCCUGUCUUCCCUCAGCCUAAAUACUGUCCUUGUAUUUUUCACUUUCAUUGACUCAUUUUGUUCUUUUUAAAUAGCAUUUCCCAUAAUUUGUAAGUACAUUAAAAAAAGGGCAAUGAUUGAACACCACCUCCCCCACCAGGCUGUGUGCCCUGUGAGAGCAGAGGCCCUGUCCCCACUCACCGUUUCCCAUGACAGCACAAGGCACAUGUCCAUGUAAAAGUGUGUAACGUGGGGCCAAACCUGAUGAGCAGCUAUGAUGACAUGUGUUGGCUUCCAUUUAUUGAGUAGACUUUGUUUCUGAUCUUAAUUAUUAAAUCAUACGAAUGAAACUUGUUUGUUUUGAAAAAUAAACAACAAAGCACACCUCCAUUUGAUUGGUAGUUUCCACUUAGCCUUCUGACCCAGGAGGGGAUGUUCACCAUCAUUUUGUGGAGGAGGUUGGGGAGGUAAAAUAAGAGAGUGAGAUUAAAUAAAGUAAAAAUGAUAACUA